UACGGGGGGAGCAAGCGUUGUUCGGAUUUACUGGGCGUAAAGGGCGCGUAGGCGGUCAGCACAAGUCGGUUGUGAAAUCGCCGGGCUUAACUCGGAAAGGUCAACUGAUACUGUGCGACUAGAGUGCGGAAGGGGCAACUGGAAUUCUCGGUGUAGCGGUGAAAUGCGUAGAUAUCGAGAGGAACACCUGCGGCGAAGGCGGGUUGCUGGGCCGACACUGACGCUGAUGCGCGAAAGCCAGGGGAGCGAACGGG
rnacentral:rRNA from 1 species